ensembl:lncRNA
GCUCCCUGACUUAGUUUAUUGUCACAUGACAUGCACACUCUUACAGAUAAAGGUACUUCAAAAGUUUCUUCACAGCAUGCCACAGAAGAACCAUUUCUGGUUCCACAAAGAACCAUUCAGUCAAAGGUUCUUUAAAGAACUGGCUCUUUCUUACCUUUUUAUAAUCUGAAGAACUUUCUUUCACCACAAAUAACCCUUUGUAUAACAGAAAGGUUCUUCAGAUGUUUAAAGGUUUUUUAUGGAACCAUUUAGACAAAAAAGGUUCUUCCAUGGUAUCGUGAAGCACCUUUAUUUUUAAGAGUGUGGCAUUAACUUGUCUAGACUGUAAAUCGGGCAAAAACAUUUAUCACAGGUAAACAGAUAUAACAAUAUUUCAGUUUCUUAGUAGGUUUUUUUUUAUUUAUUUAUUUUUUAAAUUAUUUAUUUUAAUUUAACAUUUUUAUGGUUUAAUUAAUCAUUAGCUUUUCAUUAAACUCAUAACUCCCCUGCAGUUCUCCUUCACAAACUCCAGUUUGAUGCACUUUAUGUUGUUAAUAACAACAAAUUCAAUUUUUAAAGAUUUAAAAUUUUUAAAAAUUAAAGAUUUUUUUUUUUUUUUUUUACUCUUUGUAUUUUUAUGCCAAGGCUAAUACUAAUGUGUUAAACAUAUUGUGGCACACAUACAUUUGUGGUUACUGUGGUUUUACGAAGUCAUUCUUCAGCUGUUGUUACCGUUGUGAAAUUCUGUAAACUUCAGCCUGUAAGUCGAGCUCCAGUGUUGUCUCCGGUAACCGGGGCUCACAGCUGCUCCGGGGCUGAGAGGAGGAGGAGGAGAGCCGGCGAGGAGGGGUCUCUCCUCAGAUCAUGACAUUAGCACAGAUCACCCCUGCACCUGCUACGCGCUUUCUGACAGAAAACUCAGCGUGAGCGAACCGAGGAUCUUACCGGGGUUACAGACCGCUGCGAUUCAAGCGGCGAGAGCGGACAAAUCCACAGAAAGCGCGCUUUGUGCGCGUGAAGAAAGUGAAAGUGAGCAUGUCGUCAUCCACAGAGAUCGGCAGGCAGAGGCAGCAUUUCCGUAUGGCAGAGUAUGACAGUCGCCAUACCCUAGCCUAGUCAGGUGUGCUGUGGAAAAUUAUAUUUUAUAUUAUAUUUUGUUGUUAUUAUUUUAAAUCAGUGCUAUUGGUCUUCCUUAUGUCUGUUUGAGGGUUUUACAAAUAUUUAACCAAUGAAAAGCAUUCAAAAGAGCUUGUCAGUAGAACUUCGUAACUGUACAGGAUCAUCAAACUGUCAGUGAAACCUCGUAACUUCACCCCGCCUCCAUUCAGAAUGAAGUGCCAUGCACAGCAUAGAGACAGAUCUCCACUUGUUUGCAAUGCAAGGGUAAAUAAAUAACUGAUGUUUGAAUAAGUAACGUUACA